GGACGGGGGAUCUUCGGACCUCACGCCAUCGGAUGUGCCCAGAUGGGAUUAGCUAGUAGUUGAGGUAAUGGCUCACCUAGGCGACGAUCCCUAGCUGGUCUGAGAGGAUGACCAGCCACACUGGAACUGAGACACGGUCCAGACUCCUACGGGAGGCAGCAGUGGGGAAUAUUGCACAAUGGGCGCAAGCCUGAUGCAGCCAUGCCGCGUGUGUGAAGAAGGCCUUAGGGUUGUAAAGCACUUUCAGCGAGGAGGAAGGCCUCAUACUUAAUACGUGUGGUGAUUGACGUUACUCGCAGAAGAAGCACCCGGCUAACUCCGUGCCAGCAGCCGCGGUAAUACGGAGGGUGCAAGCGUUAAUCGGAAUUACUGGGCGUAAAGCGCACGCAGGCGGUUUGUUAAGUCAGAUGUGAAAUCCCCGCGCUUAACGUGGGAACUGCAUUUGAAACUGGCAAGCUAGAGUCUUGUAGAGGGGGGUAGAAUUCCAGGUGU
rnacentral:rRNA from 1 species